rnacentral:rRNA from 1 species
UACGUAGGUGGCAAGCGUUGUCCGGAAUUAUUGGGCGUAAAGCGCGCGCAGGCGGUUUUUUAAGUCUGAUGUGAAAGCCCCCGGCUCAACCGGGGAGGGUCAUUGGAAACUGGGGAACUUGAGUGCAGGAGAGAAGAGUGGAAUUCCACGUGUAGCGGUGAAAUGCGUAGAGAUGUGGAGGAACACCAGUGGCGAAGGCGACUCUUUGGCCUGUAACUGACGCUGAGACGCGAAAGCGUGGGGAGCAAACAGG